ACCGACUAAUGUUGAAAAAUUAGCGGAUGACUUGUGGCUGGGGGUGAAAGGCCAAUCAAACCGGGAGAUAGCUGGUUCUCCCCGAAAGCUAUUUAGGUAGCGCCUCGUGAAUUCAUCUUCGGGGGUAGAGCACUGUUUCGGCUAGGGGGUCAUCCCGACUUACCAACCCGAUGCAAACUGCGAAUACCGAAGAAUGUUAUCACGGGAGACACACGGCGGGUGC
rnacentral:rRNA from 1 species